rnacentral:rRNA from 1 species
AGUCAAUGAUCGAAAGAUUGAUCUAGUUACUUAGAAAGAUGAAGAUUAUGAAAUAGGAUACUACAAUAGUAGUAUUAAAAGGAGAAUAAUAAUGAAGAAUAUAAAAUCUAAAUUAAAUCAUAAAUAAUGAUAAUGAAAUAAAGAAGUCUUGACAAAGAUUAGUGCCAGCAGUAGCGGUUAAACUAAGGAGGCAAACGUUAGUCAAUAGGCUUAAAGGAUCCGUAGAACGAGUUAAAUAAUAAAAUUAGAGUUAAUAAAAAUGAAUUAAGUAUAAUUAUAACGAGAGAUGAAAUGUAUUGAGAAUAAUUAGACAAUUAAAAAUGAAAAGAUAAUUCAUAUUAUUAACUGACGUUGAGGGAUGAAGGCGUGAGAAGCAAACUGGAUUAGAGACCCAAGUAGUUCAUGCUGUAAACGAUGAAUACUAAAAAAUAAAAAUAAAAAGUGAAAACUAAAGUAUUCCGCCAGGUGAGUAUAUUCGCAAGAAUGAAAACCAAGACAAUAGACGGUUAUAGAUGUAGGCAGUGGAUUGUGUUAU